UGUGCUGGGGUGUGCAGGCCCGGUGGCCAACUAACCCUAAUGGCGGCUGCGCCCCUCACGCUCGCCCGCUGUUUUACUCGCUGACUUUCAGCGGGCCAAGGGAGCGGCCAUGGGAAAGGGGGGGGAGGGGGAAAAGAGUUCCGGCCUCAAAAAAAGCCAGCGAGGGGAAUCCACACCCCGGCCCACCCUGGGGUCCCUGUCCCUCCUCCGUAACAGGGGACGGUCCCGCCCUCGCCCCUCGUAGAGGCCGCGGUCGGCAGGCUCAGCGCCGCUACCGCCGCGAAGAGUUCGUCUCUGUCAGCCUCGGCGGCGGCCGGGACCAAAGGGCCGGCCCGCCCACCCUGGGCAGCCGGGGGACCCCAGCAGAGCAAAACGGGCGCGGCGCCGCCGGGCGCUGAGCAGCCGCCGCUCCCUGAAACGUGGAGUGCGCGGUGGGCGCCGCCCCGACACCC
rnacentral:telomerase_RNA from 1 species